GUGUUCCCUAGAGUUCCUCUGAGCACUUCAUUAAGGGGAAAUUUGCUUUACUCCUACUGAAGCGUUUGGGGGAACUCCCGGGUUCAU
rnacentral:pre_miRNA from 1 species